GAUGAACGCUGGCGGCGUGCCUAAUACAUGCAAGUCGAGCGAACGGACGAGAAGCUUGCUUCUCUUAUGUUAGCGGCGGACGGGUGAGUAACACGUGGAUAACCUACCUAUAAGACUGGGAUAACUUCGGGAAACCGGAUCUAAUACCGGAUGAUAUUUUGAACCGCAUGGUUCAAAAGUGAAAGACGGUCUUGCUGUCACUUAUAGAUGUAUCCUCGCUGCAUUAGCUAGUUGGUAAGGUAACGGCUUACCAAGGCAACGAUGCAUAGCCGACCUGAGAGGGUGAUCGGCCACACUGGAACUGAGACACGGUCCAGACUCCUACGGGAGGCAGCAGUAGGGAAUCUUCCGCAAUGGGCGAAAGCCUGACGGAGCAACGCCGCGUGAGUGAUGAAGGUCUUCGGAUCGUAAAACUCUGUUAUUAGGGAAGAACAUAUGUGUAAGUAACUGUGCACAUCUUGACGGUACCUAAUCAGAAAGCCACGGCUAACUACGUG
rnacentral:rRNA from 1 species